GAGGGCACGGUGGCACACACCUGUAAUCCUUGCUACUAAGGAAUUCUGAGGCUGGUGAAUCAUUUAAGCUCAGGACUUCUGAGCUCCAGUAGGACCAAAAGCCAAUGGGUUAUCCUCACAGGAUCUGGCACCAAUAUGGUAAAAUCCUGGGAGCAAAAUGCUACCAGACUGUCUAAGGAGGGUCAACAUGGCCCAUGAUGGAAACAGAGCAGACAAAAUCUUCUAUUUUUAACAUAGCAGUGGGAUAGGGCCAGUAAAUGGCUGCUAAACUACCAGUGUGGCUGUGAAGGGAGAUCCAGUCUCA
ensembl:misc_RNA Metazoa_SRP Metazoan signal recognition particle RNA